rnacentral:lncRNA from 1 species
ACUAAGCCGAUAGCAUAGGAACUGUUUUCUAUACUAAUCAAAGCUAUCAUCUAGCAAUGGUUUUUGACGUCCAGAUAAAUUGAAUAAUCACAAAGAAAUAUUCUAAAAUCUAUGCAUAUGGUUACUGCAUAAUUCAUCCCUUUGACCCUAAAUGCUCUAGGAAGAUCUCAGGUUAACUGUCAACCCUGAGUGUUUCAUCCAUAUUGUAUUUCAACUUUUCAAAUCUAUCACAUAGAUUAUCCUGAUCAAGAUUUUAUUAAAUAAAAAUAUAAUGAUAUAUCAGCUCCUAUAAUUCAGAGGGGUCAAUCCCAUCUUGAUCCACACAC